UUGUGUUUGUUAGGGUAAUUGCCAUUUGCUGCUGUAACAAAUAGCUCUGUCUCAGUGGCUUUGCGGUCCGAUGAGGCUUGGAUGGGUUUUCUGAGCCACAUCCAAGUGGCUGUAUCCAAGUCCAAGCAGUGCUUCUCCAGGAGACCCUGGCUGCUUCUGUCCUCUGUUUGUGUCAUGCAGAAUCUUUGCCUGUUGCUAUGCCAUCCUUGUUUCCAUGGAAACCGCCCCAACUCCCCCAAGAGCUGGCAGGCAGUUUUCAAAGGCCAGCCACCGGAAGAGGCUGGCAUCUUCUUCGGCUGCAUUCCACUGGUCAGCGUGCAGAGAAGAGCUCCCCCCCACCCCCUGGGACUCCAGUGGCACACUUCUCCUAAGAGCCCAGGGAGAAAGAACAGAAAUGUCCAGGGGAGCAUAGAGCCUGGCCGUCAGCGUGUUCUGAGUGCAGCGUGGGGAAAGGCUGCUUGAGAGCUUGAAGAAUGGGAACAGCUUCUACCUCAUCGUGUAUGCAGGAACUCUCAGCAGAGUGCAAACAGGGAGAAACUUUCUUAACUUGACAGACAGACAGCGUCGCCUAGGAGCCUGAAGUAAAAAUUCUAGGUAACAGGAAUUUAAGCUGAGAAGGAUCAGGAGGGCCCUGGGUAAUGUGGGUCUGCCGUUCAGCUGGGUGACUAGUCAAGGUCCUGAGGCACAGCGGAAGAGGUCAUUAAAAUGGCUUGCCAGUUUUUGCUGCAUAGAGAAUCAUGAAGGCAUGUAAGGCAGAAGUCAUUAGCAGAAGCGCCCUGUGGUUUGGGCUGGCCUGGCAGUCCUUUCUCUGGCUCAGCCCACAUGUACACCAAGUGUGUUUUUCUUUUUACCUUUUUCACAUAGUUGUGCAUCGUGUGUGUGUGUGUGUGUGUGUGUGUGUGUGUGUGUGUGUGUGUGUGUGUAAGCCCGAAGUUGAUGCCAAAACCUCCCUCGGUUGAUCUUCCACAUUAUUAUUCUUUGAGGCAGGGUCUCUCCAUCAAACCCAGAGCUUGCUCAUAUGUCUAGUCUGGCUAGCUUAGCUUGGUCUGGGGAAUCCUGGUCUCUGUCUUGCUAGGCUAGAAUUACAGGUAGGCUGCCAUGACCACUACUGUUCAUGUGAGUCUAAACCCUGUCUUCUGGCGUACACAGCAAGCUCCCCUAAGCACCCUGAGUGUAGUUUUGAGCUGUCUGGUUUUGUACUGCUUCCUGCAGAGACACCUAGUCCCUAUGGGUGGGUUACACAGAAGACAGGCAAUAUCCUAUUUGUUCAGGGGGAUUUGGGAUUAGAAAAGAAGGUGUGCUAAGGAAACUGAUAGUAAAUGUAUCACAGGGAAGCGUGCAUUUGUACCAAGCAGCACUCAUCCCUUCUUUCUCCCUGUCGCCUCCCCCGCCCCAGCUCCUUCCCGUUGCUAGUCCUAAGGGAUUCUUUGUAGUUUUAUUGGAAAAAAUGAACCUACCUCCAGUGCUGCUCUGGCUUAGGCUCUUGUUAUGGAAUCUCUGAGAAAACUCAGAGAAAUCAUCAGCUUAGAACUUGACUGAGCCAGAGCAGCCAGGAUCUUCCGUUAUGAGUGAGAAAGGUUGAGGCCAAGAGCCCUUAAGUGACUUCCCCAGCAUCCCACACACAGAUGGUAUGUAGCGCAAACCCAUGUAAUGGGUAUACACAUCACUACCACAUGAAAACUGGGCAUUUUGAUGCUUGAGUCCAUGUAUUUCAGCAUCAUAGUUAAAUACCACAUGAUGUACAAAAGAAGAGGGAACCAGCUACAGUGCUUUCAGGUGCAAAGAGCCAAAGAAUGACUCCCCUGUGGUCCUGCAUUUUGAUAGGCAGAAGAUGCCUAGUAAUUUUGGACAUUGUGUCAUGAUUUGGUGGGAAUGUCCUGGAGACACAAGGGACUCCAUAUUGUGGUAGGACUGCGUAAGCCACUUCUACAAAGUAGGACACAGAGGUGAGGCCACAAAAGGCAUUGUUCCUUCUUCUCUGCCCUCCAGUCACCAAUCCAGCUGUUAUGUCACGGGGCUCCUACAGCUCAGUAGAGAAGCCUCAGGACCUGCCCACAGUCACAGGGGCAUCCUCUAAGUCAUCAGAUGAGCCCAAGGCUGCAUGAUGUCUUGACUCAGGAUGAAAGACCUUGACGAAGGUCUUUGAAACGUGGAAAUAGUUCAUGUCUGUUUUUUUUUCAGAUCUACAUAUAGGAUAAUGUAUUGAACAACAAUGAAUUACUGAUAUGGAGCAUCUUAAA